CGCGUAGGUGGCUAAUUAAGUCAAAUGUGAAAUCCCCGAGCUUAACAUGGGAAUUGCAUUUGAUACUGGGGAGCUAGAGUAUGGGAGAGGAUGGUAGAAUUCCAGGUGUAGCGGUGAAAUGCGUAGAGAUCUGGAGGAAUACCGAUGGCGAAGGCAGCCAUCUGGCCUAAUACUGACGCUGAGGUACGAAAGCAUGGGGAGCAAACAGGAUUAGAUACCCUCGUA
rnacentral:rRNA from 1 species